CUACUACUCCCUCCGUCCGAAAAUACUUGUCAUUGAAUGGAUGUAUCUAGAUGUAUUUUAGUUCUAGACACAUCCAUUUUGAUGACAAGUAAUUCCGGACGGAGGGAGUAUUAU
rfam:Triticum aestivum genome assembly, contig: Triticum_aestivum_CS42_TGACv1_scaffold_577005_7BL